UUCUAAUUGAGGGUGUGCUUUGCGUUGCUGUUUAUGCUAGCAACUGGACCAGAAACUUCUCUUCCUUUGUCUGCCUGACCAGAAGCCAUUCAGCAUGGCUAACACAGAAACAACAACAGAACAAUCUUCCUCGGCCACCGGUGUUGAUCUGGAAUACAUCCUAAAAGGACUGGAUUCACUCUCCAAUUGCAUGGACCAACUGGCAUUGCAAAUCCAGCUUAAGCAAUGUGAUCUGAUCGUUUGUGUCAGCCACCCUGACAAGCCGGGACACCUGGAAGUCCAGAAGGCACCUCAUCAGAUGCCGCCGACUUCACCUGGAACUGAUGUAUGAAGAGCAGAGGUUAUUUAUCCCUACAAUACCAUAGGUAUCAACUUUGAUACAUACAUUUCAGAUACCUAUUGCAUUACCAUAAAGUAAA